GUCCCCUUCGUCUAGAGGCCUAGGACACCGCCCUUUCACGGCGGUAACAGGGGUUCGAAUCCCCUAGGGGAUGCCA
rnacentral:tRNA from 19 species